AGUUGGCCUAUUCCAACAUCACCCGUCUCUAUGUAUUGUUGGAGCAUGAGAAGGGGGCGAACCUACAGAUCCAAAACUACAGGAUCUCCAGUACACAGGACCACAACAGGAUAUCAAGAGGAGUCCCAGAGAGAGCCCCUAAUCAGUGGUGCAGCAGAAACCAGAGACUUCAAGCCAGACCCAUGACUCGUGGCAAUGGGCACUUGCCACUAAAGAUAAUGGACUAAAGGGGCACUGUGUCACUCAUCAUUGAACAAACACUCCAGGAAGUAGCCACUGCAGACAGAAGAGAACAAAUCUCAUUAAAAGUCCUGACCUGGUGGACUUCUGUUCUAAGCAAAGAAGACACAGAACAACAAACAGUGCAGCAAGACUGCCCUUGACAAGUGAAGACACAUCUGCACUACCUCGCCUCCAGAACGGUGAGCUAGAUAAACCUUUAUUACUCAUAAUUUACUCACUUCUGGUCAUUCAGGUUUUAUAACAGAAAACGGACAAAGAAUCAGCAUUUGAAGAGGGAAUGGAAGGUGUCUUCAGCAGCGGGAACUCUGAGGGAAUGAGUGAGAAGCAGAUAACAUCUUGAGUGAAUGUAUGUUGUUAACAUGGGCAUGGUCAUGCCGGGGACCCCAGUGCCUUAAACUCACGGGAGUGACAAAACCUUCCCUGGGUGAGACUCGGAGGCAUGGCAAAGCCUUCCUCCAGUCCAAGGAUGAGUAUUAUGACAAGGAUGUGCAAAACCUAGCAACCACAGCUUUCCCCUCUUGAAUGAUGUCCUGAAACAGCUGAACUACAAAGAAC